rnacentral:rRNA from 1 species
CAGCCGCCGCGGGAAUACAGAGGGUGCGAGCGUUAAUCGGAUUUACUGGGCGUAAAGCGUGCGUAGGCGGCUUUUUAAGUCGGAUGUGAAAUCCCUGAGCUUAACUUAGGAAUUGCAUUCGAUACUGGGAAGCUAGAGUAUGGGAGAGGAUGGUAGAAUUCCAGGUGUAGCGGUGAAAUGCGUAGAGAUCUGGAGGAAUACCGAUGGCGAAGGCAGCCAUCUGGCCUAAUACUGACGCUGAGGUACGAAAGCAUGGGGAGCAAACAGGAUUAGAGACCCAUGUAGUCCCUGUCUCUUAUAU